AAAUCGCACACAAACACACAGACACAAGUUUUUGGAUCAUUUUUAUUACAUACAUACAUAUGUACAUAUAUGUAAGGCCUAUAAUAUUUAUAUGUAUUUAUAUAUACUCGAAAUAAAUAUGCAUAAAUUUAUAAUUAAUUUCAUUUUAAUACACACAUUUGUAAAAUCAAUGACUAUAACAACAAAAA